rnacentral:siRNA from 1 species
CAAGUAUUGUUGUCUUGUAGACA